UUAAAGUUUUGCCCUGGCUUCUAACUAUAAACCCCCUUUUCCGCACAUGCUAGCUCUAGCCCACCAAAAAAAAUUUUACGCUAAAGGCCUUUUCAUAGGGAUUAGAUAACCUAUUUUUUUUUGCAGUGCACAACCUUAUUCUAUUUGUGAAAGCUAGAAAUAGUGAAAGGGAUCUUAGAUGGAAAAAAUUGUGCCAGCAUCCGCGGUUACACAAUUAUCUAGUAUAGUCUUAUUGGCUUUUGGCUUCGGAAAAAAUAAAAAGGUUCAAUUUUUUUUUGAGACCCUGUCCGAGAAAAAAAAACAAGAAGAUUCAACAUAAGACCAGGAUUAGAUACCCUGUUAUUAACAAUCUUAAACCAUCCUUGGGCAUUACGAGAAAUCUUAAAACCUAAAGGGCUUGGCGGUCUCCCGUAAAAUCAGGGAAGCCUGUGAUAUAAACGAUAAUCCACGAUAAAUUUUACCUUUUUUUUGCUCGUAUACCUCCGUCCAGUUAAUCUCUAAGAGAAUUAGCUUAGAAAAAAAUCAAAAUGUCAGGUCAAGGUGCAGCAUAGGAAGGAUUUACAUGGGCUGCAAAUAAAAGAAUAUUUUCUUUUUCAAAAAAAAGAAAAAAAAAGUACUUGACAGUAAUUUGUGUUCAAAAAACGCAAAUGAAUUAAACCCGGGAGAUGCACAAAUCGCCCGUCGUUCCCCCCCAAAGGGGGGAAAAGUCGUAACAUAGUAGGGUUACUGGAAAGUAUUCCU
rnacentral:rRNA from 1 species